GGCGGGUUAGCUCAGUUGGUAGAGCAGUGGAAUCAUAAUCCACGUGUCGCUGGUUCGACCCCGGCACCCGCUA
rnacentral:tRNA from 1 species